UUGAAAAGUUUGUUUUCAAAAUAUAGUGUCGUCUCGACUGUCUUGGAAUUACCAACAAGAAAAUGUCUGGCAGAGAAGGUGGCAAAAAGAAACCCCUGAAGAACCCCAAAAAACAACAGGCUGAGUUAGACGAUGAAGAUGUGGCAUAUAAGCAGAAGCAGAAGGAGCAACAGAAAGCAAUGAAAGAAAUGCAGGCAAAAGCUGCUGGAAAAGGCCCUCUAACGGGUGGAGGUAUCAAGAAAUCUGGGAAGAAAUGACAGCACAAUACUGGCCAUGAAGCAGCUGCCAUCAGUGACUUACACAUUCUUCUUCUGGUGAAAGGAUUAGUGAAAAAAGAUGUGACUUUAUGUAUAUAGACUUUUAUAGGCAAAACUGCAUCAAAUAUUGAAAAAUGAAAAAUCUUGCUCUUCAAAAUGUUUCAAAGUUGUAUUGCAUGUGAGAUUUUUUUUCACAUUUUUUUUUCUUUUUUGGGGGGGGGGGGGGGGGGGGAGUGUAAAUUUUUAGUGAAAUAAGGGCCAUUUGUACAUUGAUUUGAAUGUUUUUCUAAUUAUGUCUAUGUAUAAUGUUUGUAAUUUGAAUCAGGUUGAGUGUAAGUACUAAUGGAAUUUAAGAUUUUUUUUGUUUUUGAUAAAAUUUGUGAGUUUUGAUAGGAUGAUUUAUUUUGGUGCAAUUCAGGAAUUAUUGUGUUCAAUAUGAAUUUUUUGCAUUGAGUUGCUUGUAAAUUUGAAAUUCUUCAAGUUCAUUGUUCUUAGUAAAUAAAUAUAAAAAGACUUUA